rnacentral:rRNA from 1 species
GACAAUAGGAAACUUUGGUUGAUAAUGCACCAGUUCCCCACGGAUCACUGAAGUUAAGCAACGUUGCGCGUGGUUAGUACCUGGAUGGUGACCAUCUGGGGAAUCGCGUGCUGGUUCCC